rnacentral:rRNA from 1 species
UACGGAGGGUGCGAGCGUUAAUCGGAAUUACUGGGCGUAAAGCGCACGCAGGCGGUUUGUUAAGCUAGAUGUGAAAGCCCCAGGCUCAACCUGGGAUGGUCAUUUAGAACUGGCAGACUAGAGUCUUGGAGAGGGGAGUGGAAUUCCAGGUGUAGCGGUGAAAUGCGUAGAUAUCUGGAGGAACAUCAGUGGCGAAGGCGACUCCCUGGCCAAAGACUGACGCUCAUGUGCGAAAGUGUGGGUAGCGAACAGG